rnacentral:pre_miRNA from 1 species
AGUGGGAUAGCUGGGUCAAAUGGUGAUUCCAGUCCCAGUUUUCCAAGGAAUCUCCAUACUGCUUUUCAGAUUGGUUGUACCAAUUUGCAGUCCUACAGCAAU